rnacentral:rRNA from 1 species
AGUGAACGCUGGCGGUAGGCCUAACACAUGCAAGUCGAACGGCAGCACAGUAAGAGCUUGCUCUUACGGGUGGCGAGUGGCGGACGGGUGAGGAAUACAUCGGAAUCUACUUUUUCGUGGGGGAUAACGUAGGGAAACUUACGCUAAUACCGCAUACGACCUACGGGUGAAAGCAGGGGAUCUUCGGACCUUGCGCGAUUGAAUGAGCCGAUGUCGGAUUAGCUAGUUGGCGGGGUAAAGGCCCACCAAGGCGACGAUCCGUAGCUGGUCUGAGAGGAUGAUCAGCCACACUGGAACUGAGACACGGUCCAGACUCCUACGGGAGGCAGCAGUGGGGAAUAUUGGACAAUGGGCGCAAGCCUGAUCCAGCCAUACCGCGUGGGUGGAGAAGGCCUUCGGGUUGUAAAGCCCUUUUGUUGGGAAAGAAAAGCAGCAGGUUAAUACCCCGCUGUUCUGGCGGUACCCAAAGAAUAAGCACCGGCUAACUUCGUG